UACGGGGGGGGCAAGCGUUGUUCGGAAUUACUGGGCGUAAAGGGCUCGUAGGCGGCCAACUAAGUCAGACGUGAAAUCCCUCAGCUUAACUGGGGAACUGCGUCUGAUACUGGAUGGCUUGGAUUCGGGAGAGGGAUGCGGAAUUCCAGGUGUAGCGGUGAAAUGCGUAGAUAUCUGGAGGAACACCGGUGGCGAAGGCGGCAUCCUGGACCGACACUGACGCUGAGGAGCGAAAGCCAGGGGAGCAAACGGG
rnacentral:rRNA from 1 species